UAGCUAAUAAAAACUAUAAUUCUCGCAAAAUAUCUAGUGAUUUUUAAUCGAUGAUUAAUAAUAAUUAAUCACUAGCUAAUAGAAACAAUAAUUCUCGAUUAUAAUUAUAUUCUUAAGAAAAAAGACACAAAACAUUUCUCGAACACUUCUUAACAAUCGAAAUAAGCAAACUCAGCACUAAUAAAGGCCGAAAUGCAAGAGUCGCGUGACAUUUCGCGAGGUCCCGUGACUGAGCAGCCCAGCCAAGAAAAUAUUCCUAGCUAGUAAGAACGGUGUAUCUAGACGUAACAAAGAGAGCGUUAUAAGACGAGGCAUUAGAGAAAAGAAGAAAGAAAUAUGCAGAAGCACUCGUGUCAGAGGCGACCAAUAAAUUUAUCGAGCGGGUGUUGGCAUGGAGACUGCCGGACAGAGCUCGGUUGGAUGGCCCAGAGGGCGAUGAGAGGGUACUCGAGAAUCCUCCAGGAGCCCGGCACGGGGAAAUUGGAGGCAGCCACGGCGGCGGCCAGGAGGAGGAACAUAGAAAAGAGAGAUGGAGAGUGGCGAGGAGGAAGAGGAGGAGAACGUACCGAGGAAAGACGAAGGCAGAGACUGAAACGAAGAAGGAGAACUCUCAAACUGGAGGGAAGGGGGGGCUGAGGUAUCGAUUUCUCGCGGUGAUCCAAUCAACGAUGGUGCCUUAUCUGACGCCUUUGCCACCCGUUUUAACACAUCGAUGUCUCCGAUAAGAAAGAGCCUCUCCGAAUUAUUCCCCUCUUCCUCCUCCUUUUAUUUUAUUAAUUUCUAAGUAAAUCUAUCAAUCUUUAUAUCUAAUUGCGUGUGCAAAAUCGAUCUUCUAGAAAAAAAAACAAAAAAAUCCCUAGGAUAAAUAAUUUAAUAAAACACAUAUAUUUCAGGUAACGUAAUUGUUCCUCGAAUUAAAAAAUGUAUCUAGUCGAAGACAGAAUCGAUACACAUCCGGUGGAAUUACAAGAUGCAGCCAAUAUUCAACGAGCCAGCCAGCCAGCCAGUCUCUAGCUGUCUUUAAUCCAUGCAGGAAUAUCGAAAGGAAGAAACGAUUGAGGGAAGAAUAUUCAAAUAUCUGGCGAAACCGCGAAUGGUCCGGGCAAAAUUCCGGAGGUAGCAAUUGAAGAGGAUUCCAGGACCUUAGACGGUCAGCACAGUCCUCGAAACGUCGGUGAAAUCGGAUCCUUCGGGAGUGGCUGGUAGAUGGGUCAACAAGUCGACGCGUUCAGAAACGGGAUCGUUCUUAGGUUAGAAGAACACAGCCGCCGAACGUUCCGAAACCUGAUACGUUCCGCAGGAAUCAAAACGUGUCAUGGAUCCGGCCACUUAAGAGAACCUUUCACACUUCCGGAUCGGGAAUGAAAAAAGAGGAAAGGACCUCCCCCUUCAAAAUUGUCUGCGAUUCUUCAUUCUUUCUUUCUUUCUAUUCAAUCUCCUUGGAUCACGAUCUCUAUCAAAAUCGAUCCUAGAAACUGUUGGUAGAAAAUUUAAAAAAAAUUUCGAUUUAUCGAAUAUAUUUGACGAUUUUAUUAUAAAAUUAAUAACAAAACUUUCUUCAGGAAGAAGACUUUUGAGGAGCUGGAAAAUGGUGUUUUGAAGAUUGCAUUUGAACAUCUUGGAAAAGAAUCUUAAAAAAAAAAAAAAGGUAUCUGCCAAAAUCCGAUUGGAUGGAUGAUCCUCGGCCGAUGACUGCCGAGGCACAAUGGAAGAAAUCGAAUAGGAAAGACAGAGAGGAGAAUCGAAGCACGGUAGUUUCGUUCUUUCUUCAGGGGGUUUAGAAUCGGGGGAAUUUUUUCACCGUGUGGAAAUGAGGCGGAAAACCGCAUCCUCGAGACUCAACUCACCUUUUCUUUACGUUUUCGAGAAUACUAACCGAAGAAGAUUUCAACCAACACCCCGCCCGUAUUUCUUCGUAUUACAAACGUGCGUGGAAUGGCGCGGAGAGCGAGUUCUCGAGGCAGUGGAGCGCGAAGAAAUCGUGCCAAGGUAAAAAGAAAGAAAAAAAAACCAAGGAAGAGAGAGAGAGAGGGAGGGAGAGAGGCGGUGAAAAGAUCCGAUUCCGAAAUAGGAGAAAAAUAUCAGAAGGCAGAAAACAUUUUCAUUCGGCGAGUUGUGCUGAAAAUACGCUACACGGUUGAAUUCCAUUUUUCUUGAUUAAUCGCGCGACCCAGAAACGAAGAUGUAAAUUACAACGUGUAUAAAAGGAAGAGCAUGAAGAAUGAACAGAUAUAUAUAAUGAAAUUGAUAAAUAUAAGCUUUUAAGAAUUUAUGAAUAAACUUAAUCUUAUCUAUCUCAUACUCGAAAUAGAAAAAUAUUAAAAAUACAUUCUAAAGUUAAUCGCAAGUAGAACUAUAUAGAUAGAAAGAAAAAAGUUCUGUAUUGAAACAAGGAUGAAGAAUGGAAUCAAAGUGGAAAGAAGAUGAAGAAUGUAAAUUACAAGAGCAUGAAGAAUGAAUAGAUAUAUAUAUAAUGAAAUUUAUAAAUAUGAGCUUUUAAGAGUCUAUGAAUAAACUUAAUCUCAUCUAUCUCAUACUCGAAAUAGAAAAAUUUUAAAAAUAUAUUCUAAAAUUAAUCGCAAGUAGAACUAUAUAGAUAGAAAGAAAAAAGUUCUGUAUUGAAACAAGGAUAAAGAAUGGAAUCAAAAGAAAGAAGAUGAAGAAUGUAAAUUACAAGAGCAUGAAGAAUGAACAGAUAUAUAUAUAAUGAAAUUGAUAAAUAUGAGCUUUUAAGAGUCUAUGAAUAAACUUAAUCUUAUCUAUCUCAUACUCGAAAUAGGAAAAUCUUAAAAAUACAUUCUAAAGUUAAUCGCAAAUAGAACUAUAUAGAUAGAAAGAAAAAAGUUCUGUAUUGAAACAAGGAUAAAGAAUGGAAUCAAAAGAAAGAAGAUGAAGAAUGUAAAUUACAAGAGCAUGAAGAAUGAACAGAUAUAUAUAUAAUGAAAUUGAUAAAUAUGAGCUUUUAAGAGUCUAUGAAUAAACUUAAUCUUAUCUAUCUCAUACUCGAAAUAGGAAAAUCUUAAAAAUACAUUCUAAAGUUAAUCGCAAAUAGAACUAUAUAGAUAGAAAGAAAAAAGUUCUGUAUUGAAACAAGGAUGAAGAAUGGAAUCAAAGUGGAGAGAAGAGUAUUAUGAAUCGUGGUGCAUAUAUUCAAGAAGUCAUCUCGUUCAUCUCUCCUCACUCUCUCUCACUCUCUCUCCGUGCAUAUCCAUCGUGUAUAUAAUCGUGGCGUACGCAGGGAGGCAACAAGAACUCGUCGUCAUUUCUGAAUUAAUCUCAUUCGACUGCCCCCUUUAUACUCUCCCUCGCAUCCUGCGGGGCAAGAGGCUCGUAGCCGCUUCGUGGCCUCAAGGUUAAUUGGAACGAGAGCUGGAAAAGGAAAAGGAUCGGGUAGAAAUCCCACGAUGAAGGUCACGUAAGUUUUCUUACCGGGCCCCUUAAAAAAACUCGACCGAUGGAUCCACUUUCCCUUCAAAGAAUUAAUUGAUGAAGAUUCAUAGGAUAUUUGAGGAUUAUUAAGAAAAGAAGAGGAAUAUUAUCUAAGCUAAAUCUAAGCUACCUGCACGAGCGUUUAUUUCUGGCUGCUUUUAAGUUGUAAACAUUGAAAGAGAGAGAGAGAGAGAGAGAGGAAGGCUAAAGAGGAAAAAAUUAGGGGUUGGUGCACAGGUGUAUCGAUGAUCCCCCGGACAGAACAGAAUACCCUUUAUUCGGUUGGCUGGAGAACCUAGGAUAUGCGCACCAUUUACUUUUAUUACGUGAAAGAGGCCUCUCUAUUCAGAUGAUCCGUUAAGCCGGUCGAAAAAGAAAGAAAAAUUCUAUCGUGUUCCUUCCCUUCCUUGCGAACGAUCGAGAUCCUUCCUUUACUGCUCGACGUAACGCGAACAGACGCGUCGGUCCUCGACUCUUCAAUUAGCCCCGGAAGUCAACGUAACGAGAAUUCCAAGAAAAAUAGAUCUGACGCUAGAAAAAAUAUCCUUUUUCCUCCCUUACUUUUUCUCAUAACAAACUUGUGCAAAUAUUGCUUAUUCUGGUAAAAAAAAAAAAAAAAAUUUUACUUUAGAUUAUUUUAAAUUAAUCGAUGCCUCAGAUUUUCGAUUAAAAUUUAUCCAUUCAUGAUUUUUCCACGUUUAUUAUUAUUAAUCUAUCUCUUUCCUCUUUCAGAAAUAAUAAUAUUGGAUCGUUGAGAUUUUAUUCAAUUGAAUCUUGCCACGGAAUCGAAACGCGCGAAUUUUAAAAAUCGUGCGGGUUUGGCAAGUAGUAUGGGGAAGAAAUUGAUCGGACGUUUCUCCAAUUAAACAGCCUAAUGGCCCAAUAAUAUCGAUCUCCAUAAACGAAUGUGGGGCUCGGUUUGGCUUUAAGUAAAAGUCCAAACGAAUCGACCCUUGGCUCUCCCCUCCCCCCUGCCCUCGUGGCACUCGUAGAGGGCGGAGGAGGCAGCCUUUCUAUUAGCCACUAGAAAUCGCACGAACCCUUCACAAGGGACAAAUCGAAACGGUACCAUAGCUGCUGGCCCUCCCGGCUGUAAUAGAGUUUCACGCUCGUCGAGAGAAUUGGCCCGAGUCGGACGAUCCUGCUAGAUCGACGAGCUGGUCAAGCGAAGAAUUGAUAAUCAAAGCGAUCCCAAAGCCCUGUCUUUUCUCCCUUAACGAGUUUGAUUGCUUCGAUUCGACCGGCAAAUCUCUCUCUUCCUUUUCUUCCUUUCUUUUAUCUAGUAAUUCAUAUUUAUUGCUAGAAUUUUUUUCUUUUUUUCUUAACAAAUAUAUAAAGUUAAUCCUCCAAUAGUAAAUGAUAUAAUAAAAGGGAUCAUGAAACUGAAAUAUUUAAUUUUAAUUUUGAUAAUUAGCUAAUCAUCUAAAAACUUCUAAUUCCUGUAGGAACAGCAAUAAUUAUUGUUACUGAUGUGAAAUAUGCUCGAGUAUCAACAUCUAAUCAACGUUUCCUCCAAACUCAACGUUCAAAGAAUUCCUCUUUCCCUUAAUCUAUAUAUUAAGAAGAAGAAGAAAAAAAAAAGGAGAGAAAAGAAGAGGGAAAAUUUUCACAAUCCUCAAUUGAAGUGUACUCUCACGAGUGCGUGAGACCAUAGGAAAAAAAAAAAAAAAAAGAAGAUUAAGUCCAGCUAGAGUGCUAGAUUUAAUCACGCUAUUUUUUUCCUCGCGAAGGAGCACGGAUGAAAAGUCGUGAAUUUCCACGAGGUGUCAGCGAGCCGCGGCUCCUUCUUCACCGCCGGUAAGAAAUCGUGAAACGGGUUGAGGAUGCGUGGAGUGGCGAACCGGAGAGAGGGGGGGGGGAUGAGAGAGCGACUCGACGUCGAGAGGGAUCCGCCCUCUCGUGAAGGGUCCAGCCAGUAGACAGUCUCACUAAUUACGCCGCGCCUCAUUAGCGUGGAAGCCUGGCAGUCGCUUAAGGACACGUACGACGACUCUUCUUCGGUUUCGUCAAAGAUACGGAUUUUUUUUUUCAUUCUCUUUUCUUUCUUUCUUUCUUUCUUCUUCUUCUUUUUCUUUACCCUACUCUUACCUAGCGUUUUGCCUCUUUCUUUCUUUCUUUUCCCUCUCUCUUCCUUUGCCAGGAGAAGAGGAGAAGAGAGAUGAAAAGGGGGGGAGUCCUUUUCCGCGACUCUUCUUCUUCUGCUCGCUGACACGGGAAUAGAGAAAGAAAGAAGGAAAAAAAAAAUAUUAGCAAUGAGAGAAAUCCUCUUUUUGCCGCGAGGCAAGAGUUCGAAGAGCAUGACGGAUCCGCACGGCGGGGUGGAAAUUGCAGUUACACGGAGAGAAGUACUCUGCCAGAGGUACGUUGUUUCUUGGAGAAAAUUGGGAUCGGAAAGAGUGAUGCUUUUCGUCUUGCGAGAUAAGCUUCCGGUUAGAAGAGAAUUUUUAAAUACUUCGAAGUGAAGUUUUUAGCAUUUUUGUUCAAGAAUACAAAUCUCCCUUUAUGAAUAACUUUGAUAACUAAUAAUUCUUUUAUAUGAGUUUGUUAAUUUAAAUGAGACGUGGAAGGAUUGAAUAUUAUUUUUGGAUUCCUUUGAUUUGAAAGAUCGAAAGAAAUUUAAUAAAUUGAUAGAAACUUGAUUAUUGAAAGGAAAUUGAAUUCGCGAGUGAUAAAAUUAUUUUUUUAAAUCCGAGAAGAAAAUCAUUCUCGUUUUUUAAUUAUAAUUUUAAUAACUUCCUAUUUUAUCAAUUUUUCAGGAUAGUUUCUUCAACUAGAGAAAAUUCAAAGAAGUGGUAAAAUUAAAGGGAGAGAAUUUUCAUGGGUUGUCGAAUAGACGUAGAGAGAGAGAGAGAGAUAUAUACGGUGUGGAUUCGGUUAGAGGGGGUGGAUUUUCGAAGGCGGGAAGGCCGAUUUAAAGCACAAUGCGGCUCAAUGCCGAGGAAAUUAGCCACGGCGCUGCCGGUGACGCCCGUCAUCCCCAUACCAUAGAAAACAGAGACCGUAUCUAUCCUCGUUCUUGUUCCAUGGGAGCAGGGUACAUCAUAGUUCGUAUUUUCAAUCAAAUUUCUUGGCAAACGAUCGUUCCUAAUUUUUUCGCCCAAGCUUUCAUUUCCUUUCUGUCGUGGCUUUUAAUUUGAAGAAUUUUAAAUUUUUUAAAUAUCGUACCGAUUAUAAAAGACUUGUUUUAAUAUUCCUCUUCGACACGUGGAAAUAAAUUAUUAUUUAUAAUCAUUUUCAAUCAAAUUUUUCGCCCCAGCUUUCAUUUCCUUUCUGUCGUGGCUUUUAAUUUGAAGAAUUUUAAAUUUUUUAAAUAUCGUACCGAUUAUAACAGACUUGUUUUCCUUUUCGAUAUUCGAAAAUAAAUUAUUAUUUAUAAUCAUUUUCAAUCAAAUUUUUCGCCCAAGCUUUUAUUUCCUUUCACGGAAUAGUUUCUGUCGUGGCUUUUAAUUUCAAGAAUUUUAAAUUUUUUAAAUAUCGUACGGAUUAUAACUCAUAAUAUUCCUUUUCGACACACGGAAAUAAAUUAUUAUUUAUAAUCAUUUUCAAUCAAAUUUCUUUUUAACUAUCUCCUUUCGUGGAAUAGUUUCUGUCGUGGCUUUUAAAUUUAAUUUGAAGAAUUUACAAUUUUUUUAAAUAUUGAUUAUAUAACAGACUUGCUUUAACAUUCUGCUCGAUACACGCGGAAAUAAAUAAUUAUUAUUUACAAUCAACGAGACGAAUAAGUAGAGAAAGAAGGGAGAAGAAGAAAAAAGCGGUCUGAUAAAACGAAUAUUUUUAUGCUCUUCUUCUUGUCUCUCUCUCUCUCUCUGCCCCCCUCCCCCCUCUCUAUCUCCGUUCAGAGAAAGGAGCAGGCUUUGAAGUUUCAGGCCAAAGAGAGGCAGAACGCGGGGCAUCAUCGAGUGUCUGAAGAGAUCGCGAGGACAAGUUCACCUAUGCUCUCGAAGAUGAAUGGAUCCUAUAGUUAAUGGCGGGGAGGGUGUAUCGCAGGUAGUAGACAUACGUGAAGAAUGAAUAGGCGAGGGUGAACGAGCAUUUAGAGAAGAAGCCUCUGUUCCAUCCUCCUACUACUCCUCCUCCUACUACUACUUCAUCCUACUCCUGGACCGCUUUGUUCGACUCGUCUUCGAGAUCCAAGUUUUUCCAUGGAAAACACGUGUCCUCGUUACCGGUCCAACAGUAAUUACCGUCGAUCUGCCAAAGAUCUUUUUUGUCACCCGCAUAACAACCAUGUAAGCGUAGAGAGUCACCGUGCGCCUCGCCAUUCCUCCCCCUCCUCCUCCUCGAUAAUCGUUUCUCAUCGUUGAUUUUUUAUUAUCGAUCUCGUUACGGAUUUUCAUUCCCUCUCCAGAACCAUCCUUCCACUUUCUACUUUAUUAUCGAUCUCGUCGUAGAGUUUCAAUUAUCCUUCUGAACAAUUAUUAUUAUUAUUAUUAUAAUCAUAAUUUAACAAGAUAAAGAAUAAUAAAAUUAAAUAUAAUAAUUGCAGAUGAGGAAGAAGGUGGUACGUUAUAUAUCCCACGAAGAUAAAGACGGGAUGAAAGGAAAGAAGGGAAGGCCCAAUCCGCGUGUCAGAGCGUCUAAACGUCUCCUUUUUCGAGACGUCCACGGUGGAAAAACGACUAAUGGAUGGAUAAUGACGCGUAAUGGAUGCAACGGACAUUACAGGUAAUAUCUCGUGAAAGCGGGAGCCAGUUUCCGCGAGGAACAGAGAAAAGGUAGAGGAAAAGAGAGGAGGCCUGGUAAAUAGACGCGGCACACCUCGCUGCCGAUGGAUGCUGGCUGGGACGCGGCCCAGCAGAGAGGUAAUUUCCACCGGCGGAAUCGAGACUGAAGAUGCUAUAGAAGCUUUCAGGAAAGACUUGAACAGUUUCGCGUGGUCGUAGCGCCUACAAGAGCUUGAUGAUGGAGAUAUAUCGUUACUUUCGAUGGAUUUUCAUCGUCUUAUAGGCUGCUGUUUUUUGUCCUUCGAGUGGAGAACGAGUGAAUUUCAAGAGUGGUAUUAUACAUAUACCAAGUAGAUGAUAGAAAACGAUAGAAUAUUCCAAGAAAUAGCAACAGUAGAACGAUAAAAGUUAUGGAACUAUCCUAUUUUCUAUUUUUCAUAUAUCUCUCUCUCUUACUCUGUUCUCCCUUCUCACACACAAAGCAUUAAAAUUAUCAGAAUCCUUACUUUCUUCUGUUCCAUUCUCUCUCAAUUUUUCAUCAUCUGUAUAUACUUUCCUCUAUCUUCUAUACUUUUCUUUUGCUCACAUCUUUAUCUUAAUCUUUAUCUUAAUAGUAGAACGAUAAAGGUUAUGGAACUCUCUUUCUCCCUUUUCUAACUACUCCAAAGCAUUAAAACUAUCAGAAUCCUUAUUUUCUUCUGUUCCACUGAUCUCUCUCUCUCUCUUUCUCAAUUUUUCAUAUCAUUUUCUGUAUAUACUUUCCUCUAUCCUCUGUACUUUUCUCUUGCUCACAUCUUAAUCUUUAUCUUAAUAGUAGAACAAUAAAAGUUAUGGAACUGUCCUAUUUUCUAUUUUUCAUAUCUCUUUCUCUCUUUCUCUGUUCUCCCUUCUCCUACUACUACGUAGCAUCAAAACUAUCAGAAUCCUUACUUUCUUCUGAUCUCUCUUUCUCAAUUUUUCACAUCAUCUUUUGUAUAUACUUUCCUCUAUCCUCUGUACUUUUCUCCUGCUCACAUCUUUAUCUUUAAUUGGCGAAAAAACGUUGGGCAGGAAUGUUCGUCAUCGUGGUUGGAACAGCUGGCAUCGCGGAUCUGGACGGUUCUUCUUGGUCUUGCGCUCAGUUUCUGCGCGAUUCGAGGCUCCGCCGCCGCUGGGUGCACGAGUGUUUGCAGUCCACUCGAAACCAGUCCCGAACGAGCUGGCGCGCGCGUGCGCGACAGAGACGGAGAUAGGCGGAGGGACGAGGAUGGAAUAGAGACAGACGGACAAAGCCGUGGAGUAGACGCUCUGGCAUCGAGGCGGGAGGCUAGGAACGAAGCUUAAUUUGUCUAACGAGGGGCCUCUGCACCUGUCAUCUGGACGAAGAUAUGGACGGACGAACGGACGUAGACCAACCCUCUCCUCUCCUCCGCCUCCUCUUCCUCCUCCUACUCCUUCUUCUAGUUUCAUCCCCUAGGAAGCAUUCGCUUGCCUGCCUGCCUUCCUGCCUGCCUGCUUGCUUGCUUGCUUGCUUCCUGGCUGACUGACUCUCUUUACUUUGACCGUUUACUCGAUUCGCUUGCUCUAUAACGUGUGACCCAUGAUUCACUAAGAAAAUUGGCGGGAUGUGGAUGAUCUUGGUUGAUCGACGGAGCAUCAAGUUUGAUCGUAAGAAAUGUUGCAAUCGAAGGAAUGUUGUUCAAAAUUCGAUUUUGUAAUAAAUUUUCCUUUCUCGAUAAUAAAUCUAAUUGUACAUAUUAAAUUUUUUUUUGUUCGUAGAAGAUUGAAUAGACGAAGAAGAUGAUUAAUUUUUCUUCGAGACAAAUCGUCAAGAUGCUUGGUGGAAAUUAUUUGCGAACGAGAAUGCAACGACGAUGUGUCGAUUCCGUAAAGAUGAAUUACGAUCGUUGGAGGUUGACAGUUCCAGGAGGCGUGAUCGGGGAUGGGUUGCACGCGCGACAAGAAAUUCUCCGCGCGUGACCGUAAAAACAAAACGUUGUUACACGGUGUGUGAUUGAUUUACCGAGGGGUGUAAACGCCAGGCACACGCGCGACCUCCUCGUUCCGGACCCUUCGCCCACCAACUACUACCGUUUACAUUCACUAUCCCCACACUGAAGGAGGAACUCUAAUUUUCUCGUUAACGCUUCUCGUUUAAUUUUCGUAUAUCAAGUAGGUUUUUAACGCUCGACAAAGAGAGAGCGCUUACGCGAUCCAAUUAUUCCUUACACCAAAUGAAACCCAUCUCGUUUUCCUAUAAUACGAAAAUUUUAUUAUUCCUCUAUCAAAAUAAAUUCAUUUUUAAUAAAAUUUUAUCGCGAUAAAUUUCGUAAUAAAAAGAAAAAAAUCUUCACGGGAUCUUCCAUCCAUCCAUCCAUCCAAACCCGUAUAAAUACAAACGCAGACGCUUUAGAGCUCCCAUUAGAUCCCCGAGGUAGACUCGACUCGACUCGACUCGUUUCCUCGGGCUGGCGUAUACCGCCACAAGUCCCCGCUAGUGUAACGUCGACAACGGGGAACGAUAACGAAUCGCUGGCACAAAGCGAUAGUCGGCCUGUUCGCCUUUGUAAUCUCAGCCAGACAGAUCGACACGUAGGGAGGAGAGGGGGGGGAGAGAGGACGGACCCGUGAAAGGCCGGGGGGCAGAGGCUUUCGUUUCGACGACGGUAGCGACAUGAUCGUUGACGGUGGUGGUGGUGGUGAUGGUGGUGGUGGUGGUAGCGAUGGUGAUGGUGGUGUGGUGGUGGAACAUCCACUAAUUGGAUAAUUACGGAGUGCACCGCGUUUGUUUUAUAAUUGGGCGAAAACCGUGGAACCGUUGGUUCCACCUCGACGUGCCAAACAACGAAACGUCCGGAGUCACGCUCUACGUGACGAACUACCCUCGAAGCUAAUCCGGGACCGGAACCCCCCUCGGCUCGCCGAACCCCUUUGCACGCUCCCGCCUCUGACCCCUGAUUUCCAGCUUCGUCCACAUCCCUCUUACACCGUUCUUUUCCCCCUCCUCGCCAACCACCAAGCAAACGGAAUCAAUUCUCCACCCUCUCCGCGUUGUUCCUCCAUCUCUCGCGCUCGCAGUUUUUGAAACGAGAAAAAAAUUUUCUUGCGUUUGUCAUCAAACCAUUGUUGAUGACGGGCUGACGCUUGAACUCGGAGGCGCUUUAAUUGGGACAAUCCUAAUCGGUUCUCGCAAUUUUCGUUCGGGAACGUUUACUCGGUGAUUUUAACGAGUUUAUUAUUAAUAUGAGGACGAUGAUGAAAAAUGAAAAUAGGUUUUUCUUUUUUUUUCUACUAUUGCGUGAGGAAGGAGGAAAGGAAAGGGUCGUGGAUUUUUGAGAUAGAUAUUUUUUUUUGAUUCAAUUUCUUUGGAAGAGAUUAUGCUACUGAUUGUAAUAUAGAGUUUUUUCGCGAGGAUCAAUUUUUUGAUGAAGAAGUAAGUUGAGCAUGUGCGAUUUUAUUUGUAUAUUUUGUAUUGUAAAUUUUUUUUUUAGAAAAUAAUUUUAUGUGGAAUAUCGAAUGUAAUUAUAUCCUAUAUAAAAAACU
rnacentral:lncRNA from 1 species